GUGCCAGCAGCCGCGGUAAGACGAAGGGGGCUAGCGUUGUUCGGAAUUACUGGGCGUAAAGCGCGUGUAGGCGGUUGUUCAAGUCAGGUGUGAAAGCCUUGAGCUCAACUCAAGAAAUGCACUUGAUACUGAAUGACUAGAGGACCGGAGAGGAUAGUGGAAUUCCCAGUGUAGUGGUGAAAUACGUAGAGAUUGGGAAGAACACCGGUGGCUAAGGCGGCUCUCUAGUACGGUACUGACGCUGAGACGCGAAAGCGUGGGGAGCGAACAGGAUUAGAUACCCUGGUAGUCCACGCCGUAAACGAUGGAUGCUAGCCGUCAGCAAGCAUGCUUGUUGGUGGCGCAGCUAACGCAUUAAGCAUCCCGCCUGGGGAGUACGGCCGCAAGGUUAAAACUCAAAGGAAUUGACGG
rnacentral:rRNA from 1 species